GCCCAGGUGGCGGAAUUGGUAGACGCGCUACGUUCAGGUCGUAGUGGGGGUAACCUCGUGGGAGUUCGAGUCUCCCCCUGGGCACCA
rnacentral:tRNA from 2 species